CCUACGGGCGGCAGCAGUGAGGAAUAUUGGUCAAUGGACGGAAGUCUGAACCAGCCAUGCCGCGUGCAGGAAGACGGCUCUAUGAGUUGUAAACUGCUUUUGUACAAGGGUAAACCUGAAUACGUGUAUUCCGCUGAAAGUACUGUACGAAUAAGGAUCGGCUAACUCCGUGCCAGCAGCCGCGGUAAUACGGAGGAUCCAAGCGUUAUCCGGAUUUAUUGGGUUUAAAGGGUGCGUAGGCGGAUUGUUAAGUUAGAGGUGAAAUGUCCGGGCUUAACUCGGGAACUGCCUCUAGUACGGGUGAUCUAGAGAGUGGAUGCGGUAGGCGGAAUGUAUGGUGUAGCGGUGAAAUGCUUAGAGAUCAUACAGAACACCGAUUGCGAAGGCAGCUUACCGAUGUAGAUCUGACGUUGAGGCACGAAAGCGUGGGGAGCAAACAGGAUUAGAUACCCUUGUAGUC
rnacentral:rRNA from 1 species